GUAGAGGAUAGCUCAGUUAGUAGAGCAUUAGAUUCUUGAUCUCAGCACCGUGGAUUCGAAGCCCGGAUGCCUACA